AGACUGUCCAUCAACAGUGGUAAGGAAGAAGUGGAUUAUGAAGAGGCAUUCAGAAAAUGGUCAUCCCUGAAAGCCAGAAGGAUUUUCCAUGUGAACUUUAACCAGUGAUGAUAUCUGUGAUCAAGUGAAAUGUGAUGUGAAAUGUGUUUGUGCAGUGUUUGUGUAGUGCUGUGUUAAUAUUUAUAAACAUUAGUGUAGUCACUGUAGUGCUUUGUUCUACUGACAGUUUAUUUAUUAUUUAUGUAACACAUGGGUUAUGAUAUGAUAUAUGUUUACAAGUUUUGAUCUGUUAUCUGAAUAACAUAU
rnacentral:sRNA from 1 species